AAUCAUAAAGUAUAACCCGGGAUCUACAGCAAAGGUGAAGGUGCAGGGAUUGAGAAUCCACCACCUCUUUUUAGAGGUUGUACAUAUGCUUACAGGCAUGCAAGGAAGGUUUCAUGGCAGGGUGCAAACCUAUCCUAGGUGUAGACGGAGCUCUUUUAAGAGGACCCUACCCUGGUAUCUUAUUGACAGUAGUAGGAAAAGAUGGAAACCAUAACAUCUCUCCUGUUUCCUGGGCAGUAGUGGAGACAAAAAACUCAAAGACUUGAACCUGGUUCUUGGGUUUGUUGAAAGAAGACCUUGGUUGAAUUACAGAUUCAAUUACAUGGGUACUUGAGAAAGAGGAUUUGACUUACAUGUCAGAUAGGCAAAAGGGUUUGAUUGAUGCAUUCGAGACAACUAUGCCCAAUCCAAACACAAGAUACUGUUGCAGACACAUUUGGACCAACUUUAAGAGCAAAUUUCCAGGUGGUGUACAAAUAACAUUUCUAGAAGGCUGCAAGGUCAUCAACAACGCAAUCAAGGAAUCGAAAAAGGAUGCCUUCAAGUACUUAACUGAAAUCCCGGCACAACACUUUUUUUUUUUCUCCAAGUAAAUCUGGUAUGCUCCUUAAUAAUUGUUGUGAGAGUUUUAACAAUGUAUUAAGAGAGGUUAGAUCAAAACCUAUUCUUCAAUUAAUGGAAUGGAUUAGGAGGUACGUUAUGUAAAGGUGUUGUGGUAAAGGGAGGCUUAAAACAUUUUGAGGGUGUCAUAAUACCUAGUGUAGUGAAAAUGGUGCAUAGGGGUCUAAAAGAAGCAAGUGCUAUGAGAAUAAAUCAAGCUAACCUAAAUGAAUUUGAGGUUGAUCAUGAAGAUGACACUUUUGUGGUGAAUUUAGAGAAUAGAACAUGUCAGGUGGACUCUUACGGGUAUACCUUGUUGGCAUGCAUUAGCAUGCAUCCAACUGAGAAGGUUGAACUAUGAAGACUACAUACACCCUGCAUACCAUGUUCAAACCUAUGCCAAAACCUAUGCCUAUGCCUUUAGAUCCAUGCCUGGACAGACCCAAUGGGAAUUGCCACCUUACCCAAAACCAUUGCCCCCUCCACAUAGAGUUAUACCUGGUAGGCCUAGCAAGAAGAAGAGAGUUAAGGAACCAGGUGAUGAUCAAGAAUAAAAAGUGUUAAAAGGGCAAAGAAGCAAAAUAGUUAUGGAAGAUGUGGUGGUCUUGGUCAUUACAAGACCAAAUGCUUCAACUCAAUUAUGCAAAAAUUUCCUAAGGGAAGGGGUAGGAAUGCUGAUGCAUUUCCUGAAGAGACAGGUUCUCAAGCUGCACCAAUUGAGAUUACAGCAGCCAUUACUCCAACUAUUGCUGCUGUUAUCACAACUCCUCAACCAAGAGCUCCUACUGUUGCUUCUGAUGGCACACAAAGAAAGGGGAGGGGUAUGUCAACUACUGCUGCUUCAAAGAAGGGGAAGGGUGAUGCUAGUGCUGCAACUAAAAGGGGAAGGGUGGUGCUUCUGAUGGUGCUCAAAGACAGAAAAAGUCAGUUGCAACAAAGCCUGGAUGUAGGAAGAAUAAAGGUACAACUCAGUCUCAGUAUGUUCAAGCAUCACAGACUUUAGCAUCUGCAACUAGAUAUCCAUCCCUAACACAGUCUCAAGAACAACCUACUCAAAGUAGUAAUCCAAUGAUUUGAAGGCCACUUACUCUGUAUUUUGCUAGAUAAAUUUGUUUAAGUUUGUUUUUUGGUUGAACUAAGUGCUUUUGUGAACUAAGUCCUUGUUUUUAAGGCAAUGCUUUAUUUAGCACUUAUAAUGUAGUGCUUAUUUUGCUAUGAUAUUAAGUUGUGUUAGUUUUGCUUAUAAUUCACUUUCAACAUACCAAUUUGCACACACAAUUUAAGGAACUCUAAUGCAACUUUCAUUUCAUAUUCUCAUAAUUCAAAGUACAUUCAAAAGUACAAAUAAUUAGCACUACUAACUACCUAACCAACUUACUGAAAAACUCACCAAUUCUAGCCAAAGAGUUUCACAAAUAUGAAACUCACAACAACAGAUACAAUAACACACACACAAAUUAUAGACCCAUACUUAACCCCAUCUCCAUUUUACAACCCAGCUACGUUGUUCCUUCUCCAAAGUUUGUUGUUCAGCUUUUCCACUUCUUUGGCUAAUCUUUCCUUCUCAUGCUCAAUACAUGUCAGCCUUGCUCUCAUAAUGUUAAGAUCAAUACAAAGUCUGUGCUUCUCUACUACCAGGAUAUUGGUUACAUCUCUCUGCCAAUCAAUUACACCUUCAUCAACCCACUCAAAUUUGUCGUAACCCCUCUGCCCAGUUUCAUGGUUGUAAAACUUGCAAGCAAUGAAUUUCCUGCCAGGAUUGUCGUGGGUCCAAGAUGUCCUCUUCGCAACAGGAAAUCCACAUUCACAUUUGAUAUCCUUCAAUGGAGCCAUGGUUGCUCCAUAAUUGAGAAAGUUAGGUCUUGUUAGUGCAUAAUCACACUCCAAUUACAAAAGGGGUAAAAAAAAAACCCUAAAUUUUUAUUGACCUACGUAUUUGAUGAACUGGUGAUAAGUCGUGUUUUGUGCAUAUUUGUUAGCUUAUUUUUAGUUGGUUUUAUUAGCUUAGUCGAGUGUUUUAGUCUAUUUUGGUGUAAUUUGGUUUAGUUUCGAUGAUUCGAUGCUUUUAUGGGUAGUUUCGUUGUUUAUGAUGUAUUUCAGGAUUAACGGAGCUAAUUUGGAUAUUUUACGAAGUCACAAAGCUAAACCGAGGCCCACGAACCUUCAUGAGGCUUGUUGAUUGAAGAACGAGCUAUUUAGGGACUUUUGGAGUGAGGCACGUCCGUGCCUAGCAGAGGCACAUACAUGCCUCCAAGUUAGUUUACACAGCUAUGAGCUUCGACAUUAGGCACGUCUGUGCCUAGUAGGGGCACGUCCGUGCCCAAGACUGCAGAAUUACACUCGUCAAGAGGCACGUCCGUGCCUCACCUAGGCACGUCCGUGCCUGCUGCCACUAUCAAGGAGCAGGGGAGGCACGUCCGUGCCCAGCACAGGCACGUCCAUGCCUGGAAGUCAGAAGCCAAGGUUUUGAGCACUCGAUAUGAGGCACGUCCGUGCCUCUUGUAGGCACGUCCGUGCAUCCUGGGAGAAUUAUGCGCCAAGUCUUUUGAGCGUUUUAUUAUCUUUCUAGGAGUAUAAAUACACUAAGUAUUGUAUUAUUUCAUCAUUAAGUUUUUAUUAGUCUAGUUUUACAUUUUUAAAAACCUAGUACUCUCCAUUAUUUUGCUUUAGCUUUUGUAAUUCAAGGUUCAAGAUUUCUACUUUUAAUUCUCCAUUUAAUUCAAGAUUCGGUAUUUUGUUUUCAUCUUUUAUUUCUUAAUUAUG